rnacentral:rRNA from 1 species
UACAGAGGUCCCGAGCGUUGUUCGGAUUCACUGGGCGUAAAGGGUGCGUAGGCGGCCAAGUGUGUCAGGUGUGAAAUCCCGAGGCUUAACCUCGGAACUGCGCCUGAAACUACUUGGCUAGAGUACUGGAGAGGGUAACGGAAUUCACGGUGUAGCAGUGAAAUGCGUAGAUAUCGUGAGGAACACCAGAGGCGAAGGCGGUUACCUGGACAGUUACUGACGCUCAGGCACGAAAGCCGUGGGGAGCAAAAGGG